AGCAGCCGCGGUAAUUCCAGCUCCAAUAGCGUAUAUUAAAGUUGUUGCAGUUAAAAAGCUCGUAGUUGAAUUUCGGGGUUAGUAGGUUGGUCAUGCCUCUGGUAUGUACUGGUCUCACUGAUUCCUCCUUCCUGAUGAACCGUAAUGCCAUUAAUUUGGUGUUGCGGGGGGACUGGACUGUUACUUUGAAAAAUUAGAGUGUUUAAAGCAGGCUAACGCUUGAAUACAUUAGCAUGGAAUAAUGAAAUAGGACGUUCGAUUCUAUUUUGUUGGUUUCUAGGUAUUGACGUAAUGAUUAAUAGGGAUAGUUGGGGGCAUUAGUAUUCAAUUGUCAGAGGUGAAAUUCUUG
rnacentral:sRNA from 1 species